CCAAACUUGGUCAUUUAGAGGAAGUAAAAGUCGUAACAAGGUCUCCGUAGGUGAACCUGCGGAGGGAUCAUUUGAGAGAAAUCCAAGUCGGAUGGGAUGUGCUGACGGGUUCAACCGCAUCGUGCACUCCAUCCGCAAUCCACACACCCGUGCACCUUUGACCCUUGAGCUCCGCCCGAGGUGGGCAGCGGGAUCUGGACUGACGUUCUGGAUCCCGGAGCUCGGGUACCUUUACAAACUCUUCUUUCGUAUCAGAAUGUGAACCCGCGUGUGAUGCGCAAACAGUACAACUUUCAACGACGGAUCUCUUGGCUCUCGCAUCGAUGAAGAACGCAGC
rnacentral:misc_RNA from 1 species